UUUACAACAGAAGAAGAUACAAUGAUAUGUAGAAUCCAUUUAGCCAUAUCUCAAGAUUCUGCUACCGGAACCGAUCAACCAGAAAGAGUAUUAUGGAGUCGGAUCAAAGAUAAGUUGGAAGAAGCCCUGCCUUGUAAACCAAAACGUACUUGGACUUCUAUCCAGAGUCGAUUUCAGGGAAUCAGUAGACAGGUUUCACUUUAUUCUGCAAAAGUGUUGGAAGUUGAUGGUGAAUAUCAUAGCGGAUGGAAUGAAGUCUCGAGGGUUGAAGAGAUAAGAAAGCGAUUCAAAGAAAGUAAUGGUAAC